rnacentral:rRNA from 1 species
GAUGAACGCUGGCGGCGUGCCUAAUACAUGCCAGUCGAGCGAACGGACGAGAAGCUUGCUUCUCUGAUGUUAGCGGCGGACGGGUGAGUAACACGUGGAUAACCUACCUAUAAGACUGGGAUAACUUCGGGAAACCGGAGCUAAUACCGGAUAAUAUUUUGAACCGCAUGGUUCAAAAGUAAAAGACGGUCUUGCUGUCACUUAUAGAUGGAUCCGCGCUGCAUUAGCUAGUUGGUAAGGUAACGGCUUACCAAGGCAACGAUGCAUAGCCGACCUGAGAGGGUGAUCGGCCACACUGGAACUGAGACACGGUCCAGACUCCUACGGGAGGCAACAGUAGGGAAUCUUCCGCAAUGGGCGAAAGCCUGACGGAGCAACGCCGCGUGAGUGAUGAAGGUCUUCGGAUCGUAAAACUCUGUUAUUAGGGAAGAACAUAUGUGUAAGUAACUGUGCACAUCUUGACGGUACCUAAUCAGAAAGCCACGGCUAACUACGUG